rnacentral:rRNA from 1 species
CAGCCGCCGCGGUAAUACGUAGGUGGCAAGCGUUGUCCGGAUUUAUUGGGCGUAAAGCGAGCGCAGGCGGUUCUUUAAGUCUGAUGUGAAAGCCCCCGGCUCAACCGGGGAGGGUCAUUGGAAACUGGAGAACUUGAGUGCAGAAGAGGAGAGUGGAAUUCCACGUGUAGCGGUGAAAUGCGUAGAUAUGUGGAGGAACACCAGUGGCGAAGGCGACUCUCUGGUCUGUAACUGACGCUGAGGCUCGAAAGCGUGGGGAGCAAACAGGAUUAGAUACCCUGGUAGUCCACGCCGUAAACGAUGAGUGCUAAGUGUUGGAGGGUUUCCGCCCUUCAGUGCUGCAGCUAACGCAUUAAGCACUCCGCCUGGGGAGUACGACCGCAAGGUUGAAACUUAAAGGAAUUGGCGGG